rnacentral:tRNA from 1 species
GAAGGUAUAGCUCAGUGGUAAAGUGCUUGCUUAGUAUGCCCAAAGUCCUGGAUUCAAUUCCCAGUACCUCCA